rnacentral:lncRNA from 1 species
UCUCUGCAAGUUGAACGAGUGGAUUACUCAAAUCGAUUGUGCCAACUAAACAGACUUUUUGGGAUAUAAAGAAGGAUUUUAUCUAACAAAACGACACUACAUGUUAUAACUGGGAUCCAUAGGAUGACACAUCAGAGGAAGAUUUUCAAAAAAGAUUGGAGAUGUAAGAGAAAUAGAGAUGGAGAGAGAAACAUCAAAUAAAGCGUCCUGCCUCUGUGCGACUGUCACAAUUUCUAUAGGAGCGCUCUUUCCACAACAGUCCACAAACACUCCCUCCACUCGCACGCGACCGAGUAGUCCGACCUCCUCAUUUAAAGCCACGAG